UUCCUGCAGAAAAGAUAAAGAGAUAAUGAGCCUAUACUGUUGCUAACACAGGGGACAAAGUGAAAGCAAAUCAACUGUCAGCACUCUGAACCAAUUGCCUGCUAUAACAACCACCUUUUUCUCCUGCAAAAGACAGAUGCUACUCUUUGGCAACAGCGCUGACAUUAUCCUCUUGUACAAGCUGAAUUGCUGCAGGGGAAUCUCUUCUUCCUAAAGCACUAGGAAUUUUGCUGUCCAAAGCUCUAAACAAACGAGAAAACAGACUCACCUCAGGAGGCCCAUGGAAAGAAUAAGCAUAAAGGAUGGGCUGGAUCAUAAUGAGGGACUGGGUCAGAUCCUGCCUGGCAAAGUGGUGCCGGUAAUAGGAAGAUUCAUCUGGACUGUUAUUGAAGACCUGCAGGAAUGGGGAGCGUCGCAGGUGGAAGAUGAACUGCACCAGAAGGAGGAGUGAGACAAGAAAUGUCAGCCAAAAUUGCCAAAACUUCUGGAUUCAAGUUUAGUAUUUUUGAACAGCAAAUAAGUCUAUCCCCCUUAAUAACUCCUCAGACUUCUUCACCUAUCAGUCUCUUGCAGCACUGAGCUACACGACCAGUCCAUUAAAUUAAAAAAGCACCUGUUCCUCCCCUCCUGAAUCUGAUCAAUAGUACAAGAUGUUUCAUCAUCAUUCCCACUCACCCCUGCACACUGUUCCCAUGGCUGUGGGAAGUAACAUUCUUACCUGAGGAUACAAAGAAAAUGAUUCUGACAGUCGAAAGGAGUUGGGAUCAUCUUUGUUGUAUUGUCCAAAUUUCUGACACUGUUGGAAGCAAAAUGGAUACUUUGGUUAUCUCUCUGUUUUCUAUUUUUUUUCUUCUUUUUUAACAGAAUUUACAUCUCUUUUUCUACAGGUGUUCUUCUGUUAAUUUUUAAACAAUCAAGGCAUAAACCUGACAAGAACAAGUACUACAGCAUUUACAGGCUAUUUUUCUUUAAGUCAGUGAUUUCUCUGCCUUACUGGAAUGAGAAUGAGGAUUCAAUCUAUUUUGAUAUAUAUAUAUAUAUAUAUAAAUAAAGUCUAGAUUUGAAAUUA